AUUGAACGCUGGCGGCGUGCUUAACACAUGCAAGUCGAACGAGAAAGCCUGAUUUCGGUCGGGCGAGUAAAGUGGCGCACGGGUGAGUAACGCGUAGGUAACCUGCCCCUGUGUUCGGGAUAACAGUGCGAAAGCGCUGCUAAUACCGAAUACGUCCAAGAGGCGAAGGUCUCUUGGUCAAAGUCGGCCUCUCGCAGAAGCUGACGCACGGGGAUGGGCCUGCGUCCUAUCAGCUUGUUGGUAGGGUAACGGCCUACCAAGGCUUCGACGGGUAGCUGGUCUGAGAGGAUGAUCAGCCACACUGGCACUGAAACACGGGCCAGACUCCUACGGGAGGCAG
rnacentral:rRNA from 1 species